rnacentral:rRNA from 1 species
UAAGGAAUAUUGGUCAAUGGACGGAAGUUCUGAACCAGCCAUGCCGCGUGCAGGAGGACGGCCCUAUGGGUUGUAAACUGCUUUUAUACGGGAACAAACGUCGGUACGUGUACCGGUCUGAGUGUACCGUAAGAAUAAGGAUCGGCUAACUCGUG